UACGUAGGGGGCAAGCGUUGUCCGGAAUCAUUGGGCGUAAAGCGCGUGUAGGCGGACUGGAAGGUCUGGUGUGAAAGCCCGGGGCUCAACCCCCGGAGGGUCACUGGAAACCGACAGUCUCGAGUCCGGAAGAGGAGAGUGGAAUUCCUGGUGUAGCGGUGGAAUGCGCAGAUAUCAGGAGGAACACCUAUGGCGAAGGCAGCUCUCUGGUACGUGACUGACGCUGAGACGCGAAAGCGUGGGGAGCGAACAGG
rnacentral:rRNA from 1 species